rnacentral:tRNA from 1 species
AGGGGAGUAGUUUAGUGGCAGAACCGCGGUCUCCAAAACCGCUGGCAGGUGUUCGAUUCGCCUCUCCUCUGCCA